rnacentral:rRNA from 1 species
UACCAGCACCCCGAGUGGUCGGGACGUUUAUUGGGCCUAAAGCAUCCGUAGCCGGUUCUGCAAGUCUUCCGUUAAAUCCACCUGCUCAACAGAUGGGCUGCGGAGGAUACUACAGGGCUAGGAGGCGGGGAGAGGCAAGGCGGUACUCGAGUGGGGUACGGGGUAAAAUCCUCUGAUCCACUGAAGACCACCAGUGGCGAAGGCGGCUUGCCAGACGCGCUCGACGGUGAGGGAUGAAAGCUGGGGGAGCAAAGCCGG